rnacentral:rRNA from 1 species
GAUGAACGCUGGCGGCGUGCCUAAUACAUGCAAGUCGAGCGAACAGACGAGGAGCUUGCUCCUCUGACGUUAGCGGCGGACGGGUGAGUAACACGUGGAUAACCUACCUAUAAGACUGGGAUAACUUCGGGAAACCGGAGCUAAUACCGGAUAAUAUAUUGAACCGCAUGGUUCAAUAGUGAAAGACGGUUUUGCUGUCACUUAUAGAUGGAUCCGCGCCGCAUUAGCUAGUUGGUAAGGUAACGGCUUACCAAGGCAACGAUGCGUAGCCGACCUGAGAGGGGAAUCGGCCACACUGGAACUGAGACAGGGCCCAGACUCCUACGGGAGGAAGCGGUGGGGAAUCUUCGGAAAUGGGCGAAAGCCUGACGAAGCAACGCCGCGUGGGUGAUGAAGGUCUUCGGAUCGUAAACCCCUGUUAUUAGGGAAGAACAAAUGUGAAAGUAACUAUGCACGUCUGGACGGUACCAAAUAAGAAAGCCACGGCUAACUACGU